UGGGGAAUCUUGCACAAUGGGGGCAACCCUGAUGCAGCGACGCCGCGUGAGCGAUGAAGCCCUUCGGGGCGUAAAGCUCUUUCGACCGGAACGAUAAUGACGGUACCGGGAGAAGAAGCUGCGGCUAACUACGUGCCAGCAGCCGCGGUAAUACGUAGGCAGCAAGCGUUGUUCGGAGUUACUGGGCGUAAAGAGUGCGUAGGCGGUUUUCUAAGUUCGGUGUGAAAUCUCCCGGCUUAACUGGGAGGGUGCGCCGAAGACUGGGAAGCUGGAGUGUGGGAAAAGCAGGCGGAAUUCCUGGUGUAGCGGUGAAAUGCGUAGAUAUCAGGAGGAACACCGGCGGUGUAGACGGCUUGCUAGACCAUAACUGACGCUGAGGCACGAAAGCGUGGGUAGCAAACA
rnacentral:rRNA from 1 species